UACGUAGGGGGCAAGCGUUGUCCGGAAUCAUUGGGCGUAAAGAGCGUGUAGGCGGCUCGAUAAGUCUGCUGUGAAAGUCCAGGGCUCAACCCUGGAAGGCCGGUGGAAACUGUCGGGCUAGAGUCCGGAAGAGGCGAGUGGAAUUCCCGGUGUAGCGGUGAAAUGCGCAGAUAUCGGGAGGAACACCAAUGGCGAAGGCAGCUCGCUGGGACGGUACUGACGCUGAGGCACGAAAGCGUGGGGAGCGAACAGG
rnacentral:rRNA from 1 species